UGUGUAACGAGCACCUGUAACUACUAGUAGUAGGCUAUUAAGGCAAGGAAUGGCUACGGGUUCGGAUGUGAGGUGGGAUUCUCAGGUGUUGAUGUUCUGUCCUCUCGUGCCAUCGACCAACAGGGGUUUCACCGCGGAGGCGGAGAGAUCCUGGUUGAUAAUGAGAGGUAAACCGCCUCAGGCUGGAAACAGAGCAGGGAAAAGCUUCCAUCGUGGUAAGCGGGAGGAUAGCAGAACUGAGCUUGUACCCAUACUCAGCC
rnacentral:SRP_RNA from 1 species